UGACUUUUUGGAAGCCGUCUCAUGACUUUCUGCCUGGAUUGCGUGUGAUGUGAGUACCUGCAGUUUGAGAUGAGGAGGACCACGAUGUUGUUGUGAGACCAGACCAGAGAGGAAGGAUUUCGAUCUGCUUUAUCCCUGCACCCCUGUUCAGCUAACAGAUGUGCAGGAAUGUCCUGGGCUCUCCAUCGCUUUUCUCUGCAGCAGAAUCUGACUGACAGCACC
ensembl:lncRNA